rnacentral:lncRNA from 1 species
ACUUAAAAUAAUAUUUUUUUUUCCUAAUGCAGUUGUCGCAUUUAAAGACCCUUGGACCAAAAUCGAAAUACAGAAACCUCAAGCCAGAGUCCAUGAACACCAACUCAAACCCACAAACCACAAGCCCAUGGUCCAAUCCCAAAUCAUCGGUGAAACAAUCACCGAUCUUCAAUAGUCUCACCACCUCCAAAUGUACAAGCAUAGCAUCGACAAUACUGCCCCUGCUGCCAUCAAUUGAAGAAGAAAAGAAAGAAAUCAUAAAACACCUAGAAAAGCAACCUGCAAUCCAACAUAUGCAUGCAAUCCAAAAGAAGAACAUGCACUCCAACACAAGGACUAGCAGAAAACGAAAAUUCAGAAAACAUAGAGAAAAGUCAGUAAACAAUCAAAUUUAACCUUCGACAAACCAAAUGCAUGACACCAACCCCCAAAUCAAACCUCAAAUUUGAGACAAGGCUGUACACUCCAUCACCACACAAAGGAGAGUAACGCGAAAGAGCUCACAACUAUAACAGCCUUUGAGAGAUGAAAUCGCUGGAUGAAGUGGCACGGUCCUAAAUUACCAGUGUCGACAAUGAUGGUAACCUCUCUAGAUAGAGACAAAAUCCCUAAAAACAAAACCAACACCAAACACAAAUCACUA